rnacentral:tRNA from 1 species
GCACUGGUAGUUCAAUGGUAGAGUUCUUGCCUUCCAUGCAGGAGACCUGGGUUCGGUUUUCAGCCAGUGCA